rnacentral:rRNA from 1 species
GACGAACGCUGGCGGCGUGCCUAAUACAUGCAAGUUGAGCGAUGAAGAUUGGUGCUUGCACCAAUUUGAAGAGCAGCGAACGGGUGAGUAACGCGUGGGGAAUCUGCCUUUGGGCGGGGGACAACAUUUGGAAACGAAUGCUAAUACCGCAUAACAACUUUAAACAUAAGUUUUAAGUUUGAAAGAUGCAAUUGCAUCACUCAAAGAUGAUCCCGCGUUGUAUUAGCUAGUUGGUGAGGUAAAGGCUCACCAAGGCGAUGAUACAUAGCCGACCUGAGAGGGUGAUCGGCCACAUUGGGACUGAGACACGGCCCAAACUCCUACGGGAGGCAGCAGUAGGGAAUCCUCGGCAAUGGACGAAAGUCUGACCGAGCAACGCCGCGUGAGUGAAGAAGGUUUUCGGAUCGUAAAACUCUGUUGGUAGAGAAGAACGUUGGUGAGAGUGGAAAGCUCAUCAAGUGACGGUAACUACCCAGAAAGGGACGGCUAACUACGUG